rnacentral:rRNA from 1 species
AAAAAGAGGAGUGGCGAACGGGUGAGUAACACGUGGGUAACCUGCCCAUCAGAAGGGGAUAACACUUGGAAACAGGUGCUAAUACCGUAUAACAAUCGAAACCGCAUGGUUUUGAUUUGAAAGGCGCUUUCGGGUGUCGCUGAUGGAUGGACCCGCGGUGCAUUAGCUAGUUGGUGAGGUAACGGCUCACCAAGGCCACGAUGCAUAGCCGACCUGAGAGGGUGAUCGGCCACAUUGGGACUGAGACACGGCCCAAACUCCUACGGGAGGCAGCAGUAGGGAAUCUUCGGCAAUGGACGAAAGUCUGACCGAGCAACGCCGCGUGAGUGAAGAAGGUUUUCGGAUCGUAAAACUCUGUUGUUAGAGAAGAACAAGGAUGAGAGUAACUGUUCAUCCCUUGACGGUAUCUAACCAGAAAGCCACGGCUAACUACGUGCCAGCAGCCGCGGUAAUACGUAGGUGGCAAGCGUUGUCCGGAUUUAUUGGGCGUAAAGCGAGCGCAAGCGGUUUCUUAAGUCUGAUGUGAAAGCCCCCGGCUCAACCGGGGAGGGUCAUUGGAAACUGGGAGACUUGAGUGCAGAAGAGGAGAGUGGAAUUCCAUGUGUAGCGGUGAAAUGCGUAGAUAUAUGGAGGAACACCAGUGGCGAAG